GCGCCGGUAGCUCAGUUGGAUAGAGUACCUGGCUACGAACCAGGUGGUCGGGGGUUCAAAUCCCUUCCGGCGCGCCA
rnacentral:tRNA from 1 species